rnacentral:rRNA from 1 species
UCCAAAUUCUCAACGAUGGAUAUCUUGGUUCCCAUAACGAUGAAGAACGCAGCGAAGUGCGAUAAAGCAAUGCGAAUUGCAGAACCGUGAGUCAUCAGAUUUUUGAACGCAACUGGCGCCGAUUGGCUCUCCAGUCGGCAUGCUUGUUUCAGUG